rnacentral:rRNA from 1 species
AGAGUUUGAUCAUGGCUCAGAACGAACGUUAGCGGCGCGCCUAACACAUGCAAGUCGCACGAGAAAGGGCUUCGGCCCCGGUAAAGUGGCGCACGGGUGAGUAACACGUGGGUAAUCUUCCCUCGAGCGGGGGAUAACAUUCCGAAAGGAGUGCUAAUACCGCAUAAGACCACGCUCUCGAAAGAGGGCGAGGCCAAAGC